ACAGGUAGCUAGUGGUUAGAGAGGCAGUAGCCUAGUGGUUAGAGGAGGCAGGUAGCCUGGUGGUUAGAGGAGCGUAGCCUAGGUGGGUAGAGGAGGCGUAGCCGUGGUUAGAGGAGGCAGGUAGCGCUGUGGUUAGAGGAGGCAGGUUAGUCCUAGUGGUUAAGGAGGCAGGUAGCCUAGUGGUUAGAGAGGCAGGUAGUCCUGGUGUUAGAGGAGGCAGGUAGCCUGGUGGUUAGAGGAGGCAGUAGGCCUAGUGGUUAGAGGAGGGCAGGUAGCUGGUGGUUAGAGGAGGCAGGUAGCUAGUGGUUAGAGGAGGCAGGUAUCGGUGGUUAGAGGAGGCAGGUACCCUAGUGGUUAGAGGAGGCAGGUAGCCUAGUGUUAGAGGAGGCAGGUAGACUAGUGGUUAGAGGAGGCAGGUAGUCUAGUGGUUAGAGGAGGCAGGUAGCCUGGUGGUUAGAGGAGGCAGUUAGCCUAGUAGUUAGAGGAGGCAUGUAGCCUAGCUGUUAGAGGAGACAGGUAGCCUAGUAGUUAGAGUGUUGGGGCCAGUAACCGCAAAGGUUCUUGGGGCGAAUCCCGAGCUGACAAGGUAAAAAUAAUAUUCUGCCACUGAACAAGGCAGUUACCCACUGUUUCCCAGUAGCCUAGUUAAAUAAGGUUCAGUUCCUGUCUCUUUCACAGUAUCAACAGGGUUUUCUUAUUAACAUAGUCCACCUCUCUUUCACAGUAAUCAACAAGGGUUUCUUAUAACAGGUCCACUCUCUCUUUCACAGUCAUCAAAUGGGUUUUCUUAUUAACAGAGGUCCACUCUCUUCUUCACAGUCAACAACAUGGGUUUCUUAUUACAGAGGUCCACUCUCUCUUUCACAGUCAUCAUAUGGGUUUUCUUAUACAGAGGUCACUCUCUCUUUCACAGUCAACAACAUGGGUUUUCAGAGGUCCACUCUCUUUCACAGUCAACAACAGGGUUUUCUUAUUAACAGAGGUCCAUCUCUCUUCACAGUCAAUCAACAGGGUGUUUCUUAUUAACAGAGGCCACUCCUCUUUCAUCACAGUCAACAACAUGGGUUUUCUUAUUAACAGAGGUCCACUCUCUCUUUCACAGUCAUCAACAUGGGUUUUCUUAUUAACAGAGGUCACUCUCUUUCACAGUCACAACAUGGGUUUCUUAUUAACAGAGGUCCACUCUCCUUUCACGAGCAUCAACAUGGGUUUUCUUAUUAAACAGAGGUCAACUCUCGAAACACCAGUGUUCACCUCAUCUCCUGAAAAAAUCUUUGACUUCCCUCAAUUAUCAGUUUCUCCUCCUCUCCGCCCAGUAUCGCCGUGCCGACGACGUACYCACACAGACACCCCGCCACAAUGAAAAACACCGAUAACAUACCAAGGCUACGGUUGCCCCUGACAACAGRGAUUGUCCUCUCAAAAUGGCUGCCGAAAGAAGGGGGCGGGGCCAGGAGCUUAUCGCCGUCCUCCAUGUUGCCGCUGGAACAAUGACGCGGAGAUUUCUCGUCCUGAGAAAGAUAACAGAAAAUAAAGGGAUGAAUCAAUCAAUCAACGGAAGGAUGGAUGAAG
ensembl:lncRNA